UACGUAGGGUGCGAGCGUUGUCCGGAAUUAUUGGGCGUAAAGGGCUCGUAGGCGGUUUGUCGCGUCGGGAGUGAAAACCUCGGGCUUAACUCGGGGCUUGCUUUCGAUACGGGCAGACUAGAGGUAUGCAGGGGAGAACGGAAUUCCUGGUGUAGCGGUGAAAUGCGCGGAUAUCAGGAGGAACACCGGUGGCGAAGGCGGUUCUCUGGGCAUGAUCUGACGCUGAGGAGCGAAAGUGUGGGGAGCGAACAGG
rnacentral:rRNA from 1 species